rnacentral:rRNA from 1 species
GACGAACGCUGGCGGCGUGCUUAACACAUGCCAGUCGAACGGAAAGGCCCUGCUUUUGUGGGGUGCUCGAGUGGCGAACGGGUGAGUAACACGUGAGUAACCUGCCCUUGACUUUGGGAUAACUUCAGGAAACUGGGGCUAAUACCGGAUAGGAGCUCCUGCUGCAUGGUGGGGGUUGGAAAGUUUCGGCGGUUGGGGAUGGACUCGCGGCUUAUCAGCUUGUUGGUGGGGUAGUGGCUUACCAAGGCUUUGACGGGUAGCCGGCCUGAGAGGGUGACCGGCGACAUUGGGACUGAGAUACGGCCCAGGCUCCUACGGGAGGGAGCAGGGGGGAAUAUUGCACAAUGGGCGGAAGCCUGAUGCAGCAACGCCGCGUGCGGGAUGACGGCCUUCGGGUUGUAAACCGCUUUCGCCUGUGACGAAGCGUGAGUGACGGUAAUGGGUAAAGAAGCACCGGCUAACUACGUG